rnacentral:rRNA from 1 species
AGCUCCAAUAGCGUAUAUUAAAGUUGUUGCAGUUAAAAAGCUCGUAGUUGGAUUUCUGGCAGGAGCGGCCGGCCACGCGCUCUGCGCGUGAGUUUGCGCUGUCUCUGGCCAUCCUCGGGGAGAUCGCGUUUGGCAUUAAGUUGUCGGGCGUGGGAUACCCGUCGUUUACUGUGAAAAAAUUAGAGUGUUUAAAGCAGGCUUAUGCCGUUGAAUAUAUUAGCAUGGAAUAAUAAGAUAGGACUUCGGAACUAUUUUGUUGGUUUGCGUUACGAAGUAAUGAUUAAUAGGGACAGUUGGGGGUAUUCGUAUUUCGUUGUCAGAGGUGAAAUUCUUGGAUUUCCGAAAGACGAACUACUGCGAAAGCAUUUACCAAGGAUGUUUUCAUUA